rnacentral:rRNA from 1 species
UACAGAGGGUGCGAGCGUUGUCCGGAAUCACUGGGCGUAAAGGGCGCGUAGGUGGUGGCUUAAGCGUGCGGUGAAAGCUCGGGGCGUCAACUCCGAGUCGGCCGUGCGAACUGGGCUCACUGGAGCAGUAGUAGAGGCAGGUGGAAUUCCGGGAUGUAGCGGUGGAAUGCGUAGAGAUCCGGAAGAACACCAGCGGCGGAAGGCGGACUCACUGG